AACUCUCAAGCUCUCUGUAAACUUAGUCACCACCACGUGCGUUAUCCUCGGAGAUGCUGGUGUUUACCCCCAUGGCUCUUCAGGGAAACUUCCUGUGCACUUUGGAGGGAGAUAAAAUGUGAUCAUUAAUGCAGAAUCAUCAACAGUGAGCCCAGGCAAAAAGGGUGUUUUCUGAAGGAUGUAAAGCACGACUCUCUCUGGAAGCAUGGGUGGAAACGGCUGUCCUUGAGUGUCUUUUUAAUGAGGCCCUCGUUCUCCCGUAGGUGCGGACAUCCAGCCGACGGACUGUCUCUAAAGCUACUCUAUUAAAAAAGGAAAAGGCCAACUAGAGAGCAGAUGGACAAGGGCCCUUUGUGGCCCAGGGGGUCAGCCUGCCAUCCCGCCUGCUGUCUCCCCUGCUCCCGUGGCGACUCCGGGCGCCAGGCCGUCAGCGAGGUCCUUAGGAAGUGACUGGUCCACGGCAGCCACCACAGCAGAAGCCACUGCAGUGGCUCACACCAAGGGAGCUGAAUCCAGGGAAUUGGUGGAAUGCAGAGAAUGGUGGAUUCUCCCCUCAGCUGAAUCCACAGCUGAGGGGAGAGCUGAGGGGGCAAAUGGGUCCCAGGGGGCCACCCAGAGCUUGGUGGUAACAACCAGCUACUCCCACCAUUAGGGAAGGCGGCACCAGAAGAAGUGCUGACAUGAUGCCCGGAGACUGUCAAGCAGGACCGUGGACCAUGGUGGGGAGUCCUGGCAGGAGCUGCGCCCUGGAGUCUUUCGAGUGAGAACUGGAGCCAUGGAGCUCCCGGCCUCUGCUGGAGAUGCCACGGGAAGUGGAGAUUUCUAGAUUUCUCCCCAUCUCUUUCUUGCAAUCUUCCACCUCCCACCACUUUUUCUCAUGGGCCAAGCCUGGGAGCAGGAGGGGAAGGGAGCCUGGGAAACUAGGUCCUUGAACUCGGGGUGCUGAGGGAUGGGCAGGAAUGGAGCUGACCCCAAGCCACUCUAAGGAGAGUUGACUUCUCUCCCCAAGAGCAAAAGGAGAACUUAAUUUCCCAGUAGAAUUUGUAUAUAUUUAUGGGUUAUACCUUUGCGUCUUUUAUUUUCCCUCCUGUUUAAUUGGUGUUUGUGAUUAAGAGUAGAUAACCAGAAUUUGGUUAUAAAUGACAGUCAGCAGUAGCAUCGUUGGGCAAAGAGGAGAAAACACAUAAUGGGUUCUUCCUCUACCAGGAGCAGCCCCCAAACUCCCUCUGUAGCAUGUUCCUCAUAACCAGCAUCACUGCUUCAUCUGACCUCACAUGAACCCUUAAGGGAAUUUCACUUUGGUUUGGGGCCAGCCCUCGUGGCAGAAUUUAUUUGUCCUUCUCCCAGGAUGUGUUACCUGCUCCACUAGCUCAUUGGCUCCCUGAUUGAACCGGAAGAGAAAGCCUACCAAAUACCUCAUUAUUCACACGGAAGUGAACUGAAAGUUGAGGUGAGGACUUUGAGACCAUCAGAGGUGAAGCAGCUUGUCCAGGAUCCACAGCCAGCAAGUGGUGGAGGAGAUUUUAAAAACCACACAGCCCAACUCCCGCUAAUGAUGUUACACACACUAGAUUGCUCUCAGCUGCAGGGCAAGAGUCAAGAGUGAGCUGAUUGAACAAAUUCCCAGGAGAGGUGUUUUGGACAGACAACUUCACCGGCUGAUCUCCGUCUGAUCGGAUAUGGGGACUGCUGCAUUGGUCCAGGCACCAACGAGGUGCAGAUGUGAAGACGGAUCCUCUCCAUCAUGGGCUGCCACCAUGUCCACCCUGGAGGACUUGGGCCCUGGAUGGGACCUUGCACCACCACCUGACCCUAGGGAUUUAUAACACGAGGAGAUUUGUUUUAGGACUUGGCUCAUGCCUGCAUGGGGGUUGGCAAGUCCGAGUUCUGCAGUUGAGAAAGCUGAUGAAGCCUUCGAUGAAUUCCCCAGGAGAAGCUGGCUGGCUGCAGUAGAGAUGGAAAUCUUUCUUUCCAACUGAUGAAAUCCUCAGUUAUCCCCUUAAAGUCUUCAACUGAUUGGAUGAGACUCCUUUCAUGGCUGAAGGCAGCCCCCGUGGUUGAUUGUAGAUGCAAUCAGCUGUAGAUGCAAUCUACAGACCAAUGAUGCAAAUCCACAAAAUAUCCUCAGAGUAACAAUCAGGCCAGUGCUUGCUUAACUAAACAACUGAAUGCCAUAAGCUAACAAAG